rnacentral:lncRNA from 1 species
CAAAACCCGCCUCGGCCGUUGUAACGACACGAAAACAUAUGCAUAGUACCGCGUAGGUAUUAGGCACGCGUUAAAACUUACGGGACUCGAUUCCAAAUUACGGAGGUCGAGUUAUCAACUCGUAAGCAAAACUGACCAACACUUCGGUAUAAAGUCAAAAAAAGAGGCCAAAACUGCCUCGGCCGUCGCAACGACAUGCAAACACGCACAUAUCACCGUUUAGGUAUUAGGCACGCGUUACUACUUACGGGACUCGAUUCUGAUUUACUGAGACCGAGUUAUCAGCUCGUAGGCAAAACUGACCAACACUUAGGUAAAAAGUCAAAAAAGAG